GCUUCUGCAGGCAUCGCCAUCAUUCAUGGCAGAUAUGAAGUAUGAGGAAGUCUAUAAUGCAUCUAUAGCAGUGUGGUGGUGGGACAGGACAUGAGUUAGUGACAGAACAAACAUCAUUUAUUGUGCGGGAUGAGAAGCUGCUGGCCAAACAGCAUCAAAGGAGCCUGGAUGACAGAAUAAGUCAGUUGCUUCACGGAUCUAGGGCACUGUUUCCCAGCACACACACGUCCCGCUUUGCCCUCCUUUGUGGCGCGUCGUCUCUUUGACUUCUGCUGUCAUUCUCUUUUGUUUUGUGGCUCCACGGCCCGGUCCGUGCAGCAGCAGCAGCAGCAGCAGUAGCAGUCCUUGCAAAACAUCAGUCCCGUUCCGAGAACCUUCAGCCAUAAACCAUUGGUUUGACCACUUCCCGGUUUCUCCCUGAAACAGUCGAAUCUCCCGGUACUUUCGAGGAUAAAAGCUGCUGAGGAAUUUAAGCUGUUUCACUGAGUGUCCGCAGGGUUGUUGCUGGGCGUUUGGAGGGGCAAAUCCGGAGUGUUUGUCACCAGCUCUCCAACCAGCCGUGAGUCUCAGCUCAUUCACACCCCCGAGUUUCCUCUACUCCACACAGGGAGCAGAGAUUGCAGCAGCAGUGAAACCCCCAAAUCCUGUUCAGCCAGCCCAGCAGGCGUUGUCCUCACUAGAUCUGGCUUCUGUUUGGAUUUUUCAUUCUGUUUGAAAUAUUUUGUUGUACUUUUUUGGCAGAUAUUUUUGUAUGUAUGUAUGUAUGCAUAAAAAUAUUUACUUUUAUGCUUUUUUAUUUAAACAGCAGAAAAAAAAGGGACUGAAUAAAAGAGAGUUGCCCAAAAUCUUCCUUGAGAUCCUCUCUGAGUGAAAUCAGCAUGGUGUAUUUAGCAACAGACAGUUGAGGCCGUGAUACACAUUCUGAUUUGUGGUUUUGGUGUAGCACUUGCGCAGGGUUACCAAGUCGACCUCAGGGCUCCAAACUGCCUUGACAUCAAUUCAUUUUUAAUUGAGGAGAAGUGUGUGGAUGCUGACGAGAGAAAUGGGAGCUCUGCUUGUGGAAUGUUUCUCGGUGAAAUUCCCAGAAUAGUCCUGUGAUUGCCCUCUAGCUUGACUCCUAAUGUCCCCCGCUCCGCCAGAUCAUUGAAAUAUUUAUCCCAUCAUCCCACUUUAAGUGUCACUGAUGAUAUAUUGCGUCACGGUGGAGGGUUUGCAUCAAUGUUUCAGCUCAGAUCUUCUGGGCGCAUAAGUACAUGUGUUCACAGCUCAGCAGGCACAUGUGUGCUCCCUCAAAUGCCCACGUAAUGUUCUCGUGGGAUCGCACCUCUUGGCAUCAAGUGAAUAGAUGCAACAUAUGUAAAUCCACAGCAGAGCGUGCACACAUGUAACCUCACUCACGUUUAUUGCUGCACAAACAAAGAAGCUGCCGUGCGGGCAGUCGUUUUAUUUGUCUCUUUCUUGCACACAUACACUUUUAACCCUCAAACUUUUCAACAUCUGGUCUUCUCACAGCAUCUAAAUGAUGACAAAAUGCCGUCUCUGUCAUGCCAUGCACUUGCGUUUACAGUCCAGUGUCCUUCCUGUUUUUUCCACCCUCAAUCCUCUUUGUAUCCGUGCUCACUACCAACAAACCGAGACAGGUCAGCACGAUUCAAUCUAUCCAUUGGCAUAUACAGGGCCCAAUGUAUCUCCUGUCAGCUGCGAUUAGUGAGAAGCAGGGGAGGAGAAGCGCUAACAGGGAGCGAUAGGAGCAGGAGGAGGCCAGGUCCUGUCCAUCACCUCUCAGCACAUGUUCACUCACUGAGCCAGACAGUCUUUUCAGUGCAGCUGCGGGCUCAAAGCGCGACCAGAUUUUUGCGACAACAUUUUUUUCCACCUUAUCAGUUAAGUUGUUUCUGCUUGAGUUGAAACAAUGUUGCUUUAUCUGAAUGGUUGCCCUCAUGGAUGACAGGAACAGAGACAUUCCCUCUUCACAAACUGAAGAUAAGAGCAAGACAAAAGAGAGAGGAACUGAAGUCAUUUAGAAAACAGGGAUUUGCAAGCAUUCGCUCUCCUAGUAGGAACCAAUGUUGGUCCUCUUUUACAUUGUAGAGACAAAACCAUCAGCUGAGGGGAUAAAAUGUUGUUCAAAUAGCUAUAUCUCUGUGUGGUAAUGACAUAGAAAAUGAAUUUGAUUAUCUCAGAGGCUGGAAAAUAAGAGUAAAGGCACAGUUGUGCCAGAUGUGGAAUCGCUGGAACAACACCUGUGUUAUCAAAAGUGAAAGCCAACAGAUGGACGUGCUUUCCAGUGAACUGUCAAUGGCCAGGAAGAAUGAAACUUUUCAUAAGCGGACAUCUUUCCCUCAUGAAAACCCUAACAUUCCGGUUCAGAUGUAGUUUGUGGCAGAUGAAGAUGAAUCGCUGCACUCCUCGGUUGUAGCAUAUCUAUCAUUACACCCAGCAUCUUAGAACAAGCUCAUUGUGAAAUUUGCUUUCGAUUGUCUCCACAAACACAUCUAGAGGACAUUCUGAAUUACCCGGAGGAAUUUUAACAACUGGGGAAUGCACACGUAACCAUCUUACCCUAUUUGGCAAUGUCACGGUCCAUUGUAAAAGAGGAAUCUUUUAUGAGGAGCAAUUCAUCAGACAUCUGGUUUUGAUGUUGCAUGGGGGGCAGUUGUCAGAUGUGACCUCGCUCAGGCCUAUUCCGGCCUUUGGGACUGCUGCUGACAGAUCCGAUGCACACUCUGGAAGCAUGAAUGUCCACACAUCAGUUUCCUACAGAGCUGUUUUCCCUUUACACCGCUUCAUUAUGCAGCCUCGAUACUCUCCCAGAAUUCUAUCUGAAGAUGAACUGAGGCCAUAUCUUACACGUGAUUUACACUUAAAGCAAUUCAGGUUGUAAACAGGUUUCAAUAAUGCUAUACAUAAUUAUAAAUAAACAGCAGAUGCGUGUUUGAUCACACUUUGGCGGAAAUUGUAAGAAGAUUUUAAAAAAAGGAGUUUAGUAUUAAGCUAUCAAAAGUUUUUCUCUGUGUUACACAUCAAAUGCAGGAUGUUUCAGAGUUGAAAGUUGAAGGAACAGAAGGAAAAAAAGAAGAGUGGGCAACCGAAUAGAGUGAUGGAAAUGAGUUUACAUUCUGUUUGGCACUUAAGUGCAGAGAAAGAGAUCCAUCGCAGUUUGUUUACCAGCCCUCAUGGGCAGCAGCUGGCUCACGGCCAACUUUCCAUCGAGGUGCUGUGGACACCCAUCUCCACACACACAAAUGCCACCGCCACCAUAUACACAGACAUGCACGUGCACACACUUCCUUACACAGUCAUUUAAAUGCCCAUGUGUACACACUCAGUUGCACGAGUGCCUGCAGAACAUGGCCCUUCCAGUCCGGGCACCCAACAGAUCAACAGGCAUCUUUUCUCUUUAGAAAUAUGUUUGCUGUUAACCAAACCGUAAUUAGUCUGUGCUGUCUUGUAUUACAUAAUCGGAGCAAAAAUGGGGAACUUACAGCAGAGCCAAGCGCAUUAUGAGUCUGUGCGCUGUGAUUUCAACAUCUUCUAAACAAUAUUCCAAUUGAAAUCAGGAAUUCAUUAGAACAAGAGAUGCUAUAGGACGUACACAUCAAGAUACAAAUUUAUACAUCCCAUAUAGAGCGAUAUAAAAUACGUCAGUCAAAGAUGAUACAUGAUCAUACAAAACCUUGCCUGUCACUGCAUGAUGUAAUCCCCAUCUGGCAUUGGGAGAAAUACAUAAAAAUAUGUCAUGUAGAUCUGCCAUAGUUAAGCAAUUAAUAUUAAUAAUCAAUUGACAGAAGAAUAAUCAACAGCAGUUCUGGUAAAUGAUUCAAAGUAUUUGGUUGUGCAAAACAACAAAACAGAUGGCGUCACUUUGGGUUUUGGGAAACCUUAAUAGGCACUUUUACAGUUUUCUAACAUUUUAUGGAUCGGUUACUUUCACUACAGUUUACAAUUAAGUGACUACAAUUAGUGCGACGGUUCAAUACAGUCUAGUGUGGACAAGGAAAGGCUCUGCUGGGUCUCCAGAUGUCACUGAACGCAACAUACUAGUCCUGUUUCUUUGAGUGGUCAUGCAGCCCUAUAAACAGAGUAAGGAGGACUAGUUGGAGGCCUUGAUGACCCCAGCGCUUGAACCCCAGAAGAGAUGAGACGUGUUAUCCUAUGAAGAAGUGUGCAAUACCGAAGGGUGGAGGAAGUGGUAAAGUCAGGGUGUGGAGUUUGGCUACUUUGUACAAAUACCGGGCUUUAGUAGAUGAUUUCUAAAAGCUAGUGCAAAAACAUAUACGUAUAUUUGUAGAAAAAUGGCCAAAAGCUGUUUUGGUUUUGAUAGUCCUCUGAUACUACAUUGAACUAGUGAGACAGUUUAACUUUGAAACCUUAUGUGUAUGAAAGACUUACAUCUUUAAAAGCAAGAUCUGACAGACUUGAAAAAGUUUUUUUGUAGAAAAUAUGAUUAAAUAAUUUAACGAAUUAACCCUUUGAUGCACAACAUGGGUCAAAAGUGACCCAAAUCUAAUGGAAAAUGUGUAUCUCCUGACUCACACUGCGCAUCAAAUGAUUUAUACAAUUAGAAGAGGACUGAAUCAGGAGAAGUCUUUAACAUGAUUGGGAUUAUUUAAUAAGUACUGUGCUGCUGUAUACAAUUUUCAGAUUUUCUAAUUUCACUGCAGAGUUUCCAUUUCAUACUACUUCAAAGUCAUUGCAUUGUAGACGGGAACAUUGGAAACAUUUGACUGCUAUAGUAAUUAUUUAACUUCCAAAUUAAGAUAUGGAAAAAUGAUUUAAAAGUUGCAUAACCUUAAUCAGUUACAGCACUAAACACAGAAGUGGUGUUCAUUUAGUAUUAGUACUUUUACUUCAUUCUCAAAACCACAGUUUGAAAUGCAUGUUUUCUUUAAAAAUCACCAAAAUGCUAAUAUUUCUGAUGGUCCGUCAACAGGAUAUCCUCUAUGAUGUAUGGUUCCAUUGAGAAAAGCAACAAAGUUUAAACUUAAAAUUGUGAUAUUCAAUCAAAAUCACUUUAAUCUACACAUCUCAUUUUAAAAUUCAUGAAUACUAAACAGGAAUUAACAAAAAAAAACACACACAAAAAUUCUGCCCUCUGCAGUGCAACAUGAACCCAUUAGUGGCUUAGCUCUGACCAACAGUCUUGUGGCAAAAAAAUCAAGGAAUUUUUUUAGGCUGGACAUUAGGUUGUAUUUAUAUAGAGCUGAUAGGACACAAGUGUGAAAACAAAUGAUGUAAACAGUAAAAUAUCUACAGUAUGCAGAGCCACCUUUUUUUUUCCAGCAAUGGUAACGCCUCUGGGCACCUGGAACAAUGUUGUACACUUUAAGUCCAAUUCUUGUAAAAUAAAUAAUUGAGGAAAUUCAA